rnacentral:lncRNA from 1 species
UUUUUUUUUUUUUUUUUUUUGGUUAAAGUAGGACUUAAUUUUUAAACCUUGACCAUGAUGCCAAUAUUCAUAUUUUUGAACUUGUAGAAAUAAAAACACUCUCAAAGGUGUAUAUAUAUAAUAAUAAUAAUUUUCAAAAUAAAUAGAGGGAAUAUAAAUGAAAGUUUUGUUAGAGAAGAGUAUAGAAAACCUACCUCACAUCUCAUGAAUAUUCAGUAUAAUUUAAGAAAAUAUCAUAUUUGAUGGUUAGUCCAAACAUAAUUAGGAGAUAAAGAUAUAACUUAAACUACCUGUGGUUCACCAAUCCAACGCAUUGGGCUAGAGCUAAGGCCAAUUUCUUGCUUUAGAAUGCUUUCGUGCCACCAAUCACUAAGCAACAAGUUGAUUUCUUCGUCGUAAUGGAACGGCUCUUUCUCUCCUUCUUCUGGAUCCACUAUCAAGGAUCCAUAUAACCCAGCCGCUCUCUGCAUACCCAAAUGACCAUGAUAGAAAUAUGUCCCAGGCUGCCAAACGCAAGUUCAACAAAACAAAUAAAUUUUGUUAGAGAUUAUAUUUUAUGUCACUUUAUUCAGCAUCGACAUUUCGAAACCUUCUCACCUUAUCUACUACGAACUGGUAAGUGAAGGAUUCGCCUGGGUUAGUCGCACACUGCGAGAUGGAAGCAGUGCCAUCGGCCCAGGGAGUUCCCUUCUGUAGGAUUCCAUGCCAAUGAAUGACAACAUCUUCAGUGGAGAGCUUGUUAAUCAUCUCUACAACCACAGUGUCACCAACAUUGGCUCUAAUAGUUGGCCCGGGAAACUGGCCGUUGAUUCCCAUGACGAGGUUUUCUUUACAGUCCGGGGACCAAAACAUGUAUUCAACUUCCCAUGUGUAGUGUCUAGUUUGGGAAACAGCAUCAGAGAGAGUUAUUCCAAACCCAAAAAUGAUUGACAGAAGAAAGAACAUGGCUGGAAAAGGCAUAGGAAACAAUGGCUGAUUUGCAACUUUUGUUGCCAUCUCUUGGUAAAGAGAUGGAAGGGAAGAAUAAUAAUGCAAUGAGCAAAAAAGAGGAAAUUGGGAGUGGGAAGUUUGUGGAAGAUACCACUGCAAUUUACCAACGGCUCCUCCUUAAUUUAUAAUGAAAUUUUGUGAGGUUUUGAUAAUACAAAUUUAUGUCAACUUAUUUUUUCUUUUGUCUUCAUUUGUUUGAUACUUUUUUUUAUUGGUUUUAUAGUUCUAAAGGUUUUUUCUUCUAUGGAAAACUUGACGUUUAUAUGAUGGAUAUUGAGAACCUAGAGAGAGAUUUAAAUGUAGAAGUUUGUUUGGAUGUUUAAUUUUUUUAAUUAAAAUGUAUGUAUAACAUAAUAUAAUAACUUUUUUUUAAGAAUUUGCAUAGUAGAAAGGUACUGAAAUUAUGUGUUAUGUAAGAUUGUCUUUGCUAAGCUUUAGGUAAUCUAGAUACUAUUAAUUUCAUAUAAUAAAGUUUAUCUAAAUUUUUUUUAAGCUGAAGUAAAUUUAUUUGUUCUAACAUUUUCAUCUUAUAUUUUUAUAUCAAUUAGUUUAUAUUAACUUUAUUUUUUUUGUUUUUUUUAUCAUAAAUAAAUUUAUAUUAUAUAUUUUUUCAUUUAUACAUAUUUUAUAUUUCACAUUUUCAUUUUUUUAUUUAAACAUGAAUUUUUAAUGCAUGCAUGAGAGUCUUUCUAAAUACAAAAGUAUUAUGCCUAAAAGAAUAUACAAACGUAUUAGGUAGUUGUGGGAAAGAUAAAACGAACAUUGUAGUUUAAUAUAUAAUUAAAAAGAAUCCAAAUAUUAUUUGACUUUAUCUAAAGUUAAUUAUUAAUUACAUAUAAUUAAUCACAACCUUGCAUUAAUUUAUAUUUAUAUAAAAACAAGUGAAAUAGAGAAAGUGGAUAAAAAAAAAAAAGAAAAAUCCACCAAACUCAAUCAAAAUAUCAAUUUCUUUUUGCUAUAUUUUUCUAUCUCUAACGAUUUACCUAAAAAAAUGAGAAAAAUGAUGGGAAAAGGGUUAGUAAAAGAUUCUUCAAAACAUGAAAAGUCUUAAGAACCGUGAUUAAAAUAGAUAUUAACAUUAAUAAAAUGUUUGGUUAUAAUUAGAAAUAUUGAGGUUUCAAACCUUACGAAAAUAUCAAUAAAAAAUUUGAAUAAAUUAUGGAAUGAAAUCGUUAUAAUUAAUUAAUAAAAGUACUUUUAUUGUGACUUAAUUAGAAUUAACCAUUUUUAAUAGCAAUGUCUAUAAAGUAAGACAACCAUUUAGGUGCCUAUUGUUAGUGCAUGUGCAAAUGUUAAUAAGAUAACCUAGAUUUAAAAAUAAAUGGAAAAGUAGUUACCCAAGUUUAAGAAUGCUUUCGAGUGAAAUAUUCCACGAGGUUAAAAGUAAGUUGAAUUUUUUGGUUGGAGGAAAAAUACAAAUAUAACAAUUAUAUAAUCAAAAUAAUUAAACAUACAACAACAUUUUAAAAAAAUUAUAAAUAUAUAGCAAAAUCUAUUAAAACCUGUCAAAGAAAGAGUUAUCUCAAUAGAUUUUGCUAUAUUUAUAAAUUUUUAAAAAUGUUUUUAUAUAAUUAAUAAUUAUUUCUAAAACUGCUAUCCAUUAUAAUUAUCCUAAUUAAAAUUUAGAGCUCUUCCUCUAAAAUUUCGAUUUAUAUUGUCCAUGACUUUCCUACGUGUCAUUCAUUAUUGUUAUAUUUAUUUAUAUUAGUAGGUUAAAGAGUUGACCUUUUACUAUAUUUAAUAUUAUUUAUUAAUAUGUCAAUAUGAACUUUUAAUUAAUUUAAGGAAGCCCUAAUAAUUCCAUUAAGAGAUUUUUUUUUUCAUCAAUAUAUAUAUAAUGUAUUUUUAACAAAGCUAUAAUAGAGGUUGAGAUUAGAAGAAAAGUCUUCUAAAGUAAAACAAUGAGAGACAAAACAAAUAUAGACAAAAAAAAAUCAUAAAAUUGCAUCACACACAAGAUCAAACGAACCAAAAAUAUUUUUUAAAAAUUGAAUAUUCAAUCUCACUCUCACAUGUUACUUCAAAUUAAUGUACUCAUUAACUAAUAAAAGUACUUUACCUAUAUAUAUAUAUAGGACAUGAGGUUUUUUAAAAAAAAAAUCAUUAUCGACGCCUUCUCCUCUCAUCGUCUAUUUUAAAAAAAAAGUCUACACAAAUACACGUGUAAGAAUUUAUUAUAUAAUAAUUUUAUUUAUUAAAAAUUUAUAAGAUGUAAAUCGAUCCAUAUCUAAAAGUUUAGAACUAAGGGCUAAAGUUACGUAAUUUUAUAAUUACGUUUGGUGAUAGAAAAUUAAGGUUUUAGGGGCAUAAUUGCAGUUAGAAUUAUAUGAAGGGUGCUUUUUGCAAUUACUUCAUACACUCAACAUCAAAGUGAGUGUUUAGUACACAAGGCAUGUCAUUCAUUGUAUGUCCACUCCACAUAUAUAUACAAUACAUAUAUGCUCAAAGGUGUUAUUAACAAAAAUGAUAAUUUUUUGAAAAAAAUAUCUUAUAUCAAAACAACUAUGUCUUUGUCCUUACUAUCAGUUAAUUUCCAUCUAUAUCUUUAUUCUUUUACAUUUCUACAUUUUCAAUCUUUUUCAAGGGGCAAAUUGACAUUUUAUGCCUUUUUUAUAUUUAUGAUAAUUAAUUGCAACCUUAAUUUUUAUAAAUAUAUAUAACAAAACUCUAAUAUAUUUACAAUCGUGUAACAAAAUCAACAAAAUUCAUGAAGCUAAUAAAAUAUUUUCAUAAAUUCCAUAUUUGUUCCUGAUAUUGCAAAUGAUUCGUCGCUUCUCUUUCCUCUUCUUCUUUACAAUUUUUUUAUCUUCUCUUCCAGAUUUCUUCAACUCCUUUGAUGUUCUUUCUUCUAUUUUUAUUCAUCUUCUUUUUCUUUCUUUCCUUCGACUCCUCUUCUAAAUAUUAAUUUGAUAUGAUCUAAACAAUCGCUUACCUCAACAUGAUCAAAUAGCAUGGUCAACACGAUUGUUUAGAUUUAAAGUCAUUUUCCAUCGAUUAAAAAGAACUACACGAUCGUGUGGAAACGAUUUAAGUGAUCACUUACCUAGUCAACAUGAUAUAUAUAUAUCAUUUAGCAUGGUUAACACGAUCAUUUAGAUUUGAAGCCAUUUUUUCUAUCGUUUCAAAAGAACUACACGAUCGUGCAGAUAUGAUCUAAACGAUCGCGUACCAUAGUCAGCUCGAUCGUUUAGUGUGGUUAACACGAUCUUUUAUAUUUAAAACAUUUUAUUUCAUCGUUAAAAAGAACUACACAAUCGUGUGGAUACUACCUACACGAUCAUGUAUCAUGUUCUAUGUCGAAGUGUCUCAUGAUCGUUAAUUUAGAAAAAGAAUUAUACAUGUCCAUGCGGCCGAUUAAUCGUGUGUUGACUAAGAUAUUUUUUAUAUAUUUUUUUCAUCAUUGGCCCGUAACUUCUUCCAUUUUCAAAAUUGUUCUAUACAACGUAAAUAUUAUGUUAAUUUAUUAUAUUUUUUAAAAACACUAAACAAAACAAUAAUUUGGGUGUGAACUAAUAAUGUUUCAAUAAAAGAAUAUAUACAUUUUUUAAAUUUUAAAAAGGGAAUGAUUAAAGCUCAUAUUUUGUUUUCGUAUAAUUUUUCGAUAAAACUCAUAAUUUAAGGGAAGGGAAGGGAAUGACUAUAAAAACUCAUAUUUUGUUUAUAUUUAUAUAUUUGGUUAAAUUACAUUUUUACCCUUGAAGUUUAAAAUUUGUACGAUUAGUUCUAAUGUUUCAAAUUUGCAACAAAAAAAAAAGUACUCAAAUUUUAGAAAAUGCUCGAUUACGAUCCAAUUGGGAUCGGUUAAAUAGACAACAAAGAUGAGACAAAUUUACAAACUUUAGUAUGAUGUGUGACGAAAAACGAUUCCAUGAAGAUGUGGCUACAUUCAAAUAGUACCAUUAUUUGUAAGGUGAAGUUUUUUUCGUCAAUCUCUUCCCUCUUCUUACAAAAUUUGUUGUUACCAAUUCUUCCCAUCACUUGUCUACUUUUCUUGAUUUUGACAAGAGAGAAAAAAAGUUGGUUGACAACAUCCUCGAGAGGGAAGGGUGGGAAGAGAAAACAUUUUUUAAAAUUUUUAUUUUCUGAAUAAUAGAUUAAAGUUAACAAUAAUAGUUAAUUUAAUGUCUAAAUUGUGAGGAAGUUGAUUGUUUAAUUUUAAAAUGUGGAGACAUACUUUAGGAUCAAAGGUAUAAUUUCUUUAUAUUUUGAAAGCUACCAAAUUUAGUUCACUACCUCUAUUUUAUUUUUUUUCAUUUGUUUUUCACGUGGGAACAAUGAAAAUAUGUAGUUUCCUUUCAAAUUGGAAAGCAAUUCUGUCUGUUGGCUACAAAGACAAAAUACUAUUUGUUUUUCUUUUUAUUGUCUAAAUAAUAAUAAUACACGUUAUUGCUAUGUAGCUUUUAAUGAAGUAUGUUAGAAGUGUUAGGUGUGUCGGAGGAUAGAGGUAAAUUUAAACUUAACUUUUGUGAAAGUUGGGAGGUUGGACAUAGCGUAUUCAUGAAUUAAGCUCGAGUAAGUUGGAGCAUUUGAGAUUAGAAAUAUAAGACUAAUCAAUCUUAUUUAUGUUUUAAGACUUUUAACGAGAUUGACAAGAGUUGGAUGAAAAUUAGGAAUAGGUUUUAAUCGAUUAAGCACAGAGAAGAAAAUUUUCAAUUUUUAGAGGUUGCAAAAUAUCACGACAAUAAUUAUGGACGACUAAGGUGUCCAAGCAAGAGAUGUAUGAAUUCAAAUUGAGACUCAUUAGAGGGUGUGGAGCGACAUCUAUUAACAACUGGAAUAUCCCCCAACUAUACAGACUAGGUAUAUCAUGGAGAGCCUGUGAACUUACACAGAGGUAUGCAAAGAUUUGAUGAAGGAACUAGCAUUAGUAACCCCUUUUGAAAUGUUGGAUAUGAUUCAUGAUUUACAAACUCCAAACGAAUGCGAAGAAGAGACGGAGGAAGAUUUGGAGAAUGAAAUGUCGUGUAACAGUGGGGUAGAUAUAGAAGAAGAGACAACAAACGUCGUAUUUCAUGAGUUAUUAAACCAAGCAAGUUGUGAACUAUACCUCGACUGUUCAGAAUUUUCGUCCUUGAACUUUUUUGUUAUGGUAAUGCAUUUAAAGGUUCUUAAUAGUUGGAGCAACAAGUCGUUCGAUAUGAUGUUAGAGAUAAUAAAAUGUGUGUUUCCAAUGUGUGGCACCAAUAUCUCUAGUUCAUUUUACGAAGCCAAACGAAAAUUGCGUGAGUUGGACUUGGGAUACGAGAAUAUUCAUGAUUGCAAGUACGACUGUGUAUUGCUCUAGAAGUGUUUGGGGAUUUGCAACAGUGUCCAACUUGUGGUGAGUUUCGAUACAUGGUUAGUUCUAAUAGAUCAAGAAAAAAUUCUGCAUAAAGUAAUCCUACUACUUUCUGUUGGUGCCGAGAUUUCAACGCUUGUUUGUAUUGCAAGAAAGCUCGACAGACAUGAGAUGACAUAAGGAUAAAUGAGUGAGAACAAAGGAUUUGUUGAGACGUCCAACUGAUGUAGAGGGAUGGAAGCACUUUAACUCUGAAUUUCCUGAUUUUGCUCUAGAUUUACAGAACGUCUGUUUGGAAUUAGAUGCAAAUGGGUUUAAUCCAUUCGGUUAUAUGAGUGUCUCGUACAAUAUGUGGCAUGUGGUGUUAAUUCCUUACAAUUUGCCACCAUAGAAAUGCAUAAAAGAGUCAAACUUUUUCAUGCCAUUGUUCAUUUUUUGUCCAAGAUCUCCUGGUAGGGAAACGGAUGUGUACCAACAAACCAUUGAUUGAGAAACAGAAAGAGUUGUGGACUUUUGAUGUGCGUACGUAUGACUGUAUUACAUAUCAAUUUUUUCAAUUGCACGCAACCUUGUUGUGGACAAUUCAUGACUUCUCGACAUAUGGUGACCUAUCUAGGUGGAGUAUGAAGGGGUAUCAGACAUGUCUCAUUUCAUGGAAAAUAAAUCGUCGUUGGAUAAGAGAAAAAUAGCUUUCAUGUGGGACAUCGACGCUAUCUUUCAGAUAACUACAUGUUUGCCGUCGAAGUAGGCUACAUGAUGGAAAAGUCUAGCGUAAGCUAAGACUCCUCCAAUAGUAAUAAAUGAGCAUGAAAUCUUCAAACAACUAGAUUCGUUAGAAUUUCCACUUAUGACUAAGUAUCAUUCGUUAAAAGAUAAGAAAAGAAAUAAAGCUUUUGAUUGGUACAAGAAAAGUAUUUUCUUUGAUUUUCUUUACUGGUCGAGACUACUAAUUCGUCAUAAACCUGAACAACUUAAUUAUAUUUUUUUUGUUAAUUAUAUCGAUUUCAUAUUUUGUUUUAUAAUUUGUAAUUUUUUUAAUUUUAAUAAUAUGUUACAAAUUUUGUUUCUUUCAAUUUGAAGCGGAACUGAAAAUAAUAUACCUUACAAUAAAAAAUAAAAUAAAGAAAACAAUAAAAUGAUAAAAUAAUAAAAUAAUAAAAAAGAAAUUUAUCCCAACCUAGAAAACAGGUCGGGAUCCUGUGUUCACCCUGACUUACCCAUACGACAUCGGGGAAACUUUUCUCGAUGCAUGUCGAGAGUACCCUUUUCUUGACGCACAUAGACAACAUCAAGCGUAUUCCACUACCGACGUCUUGCCUGUGUCGGCAUGGACAGUGUUGGGAAUAACCCUAUGUUGACGUCUUCACUUUGAUGCGUCGUAGAAAGCUGCCCCGGCGUUGAAAUCCUGACGUUCUAGUUGACGGAGAAUUAUGCGUCGAUAAUACUUUGACUGACACCUUUACUAUUUUUGCCGACGAUUUGUGGUGUUAGAAGUCCUCCGCUUUCUUGUAGUAGGAGUUGCUCACAAGUCCUGACGUGUUAUGAAGUGCGAUGAGAGAGACUGCACCAAACGCGUAUAUGAAUCGACAUUAGGAGCUUGUCCUUACUUUCGACGUCAAAAUGAAGCGCGUUGGGAAAAGGAAACUCCUGACACCGAUUCAUAUACGUGCUAGGAAAUCGUCUCCCAAUGCAUUAUUUCUUUCAACUCGUCUCCUGACGGUCCUGUAUGCGUCGGGAUCCUUUCUAGACGCAUUUGGAUAUAUAUGUCAAUGCUUUUAUGUGUCGAAAGAGCCACUAUUUCUUGUAAUGAUAUUUGAUUCUUUGGUUCUUUCUCUUGAAAAAAUAAAUUUAACUAUUAAAUUUUCUGAUAUUCUUGGAUAAUCAAAUUUAGGCUUGAUGAACUUCUUCAAUGAUUGACCUUUAUUGGGUUUGUUGAUCUUUUAGAGAAUCGACCUUCGAACUUAUUGGUCUUUUCUUAAAUGAUCGGUAUUUAGGUUAGAUGAUUAAUUUGGAUUGAUCAUUGGUUUGGUGAUAUGCUUAGAUUUGCCUUACAAUUUUAAGAGAGUUAUAUUUUUUUGAUCUUAAGAGUUUUGAUCAUAUAAAUUUUAGAUUUUAAGAUCUUUAAAGCCUCCAUCUCCAAAAUUUGAGAACUUCAAAGUUUCAAUUUUUAGAGAAAUCUGUGUGCUUUAAUUUAGUCUUUUAGAAUAAUUUAAGAACGUCGAAAUCUUCCCAGCUUUCAAUUUUUCAGAAGGUGAUUAGUCUCAAGAUUGAUAAGAACUUUAAUGUCUUGAGAGCUUCAAAUCUUCAGAGCUUCGACUUUUCAUCGUCAAUUCUAUGGCCCAAAUUUUCAUGGGGCUUGAAUUCGGUCAGGUUCAAGAUACUUUAAUUAGAGAUAACUGUGAAACUCGCAAAAUAUUAAAUAACAAACUGAAGAAUAGCAAAUCCCCAAAAUAUUAAGAUUUAUAGCAAAAUUGUCGAUUGCAUAAUUUUUUUGACUUUUUUUGACUUUUUGCAUAGAAUAACAUUUUGAGAAUAUGAUAUAGUAAUUAUAGCACGUUGUUUUAGAAUUUUGCAAAUAUGACAAAAACUCUCCAUCUUAAAUUUGUUAUUAUUCUUAAACUGUCAUUCAAUAACUUAUUUCUCUUUCUUUUUUUAAUGCCUUACUCAUUAUUUAUUUAUUCUCUCACUUUUUCAAGUCCUAAUUAUUUGUUUAUUCUUAUACUAUAAAAAUUAUUUAUUAUUUAUGUCUUAAUCUUAAUUUUAAAAUUAUAGUACAAUAAUUGCAAUAUGAAAGAUAAUAUAAUGAUUGUUGAUCGAAGUAAUUUAACUUCAUUUGUGGUUCUUUUUUUUUUUUUUACUUUCUUCGAUGUGUAUUUUAAGUUGAAUAUGAUUCCAAAUGAUUUUAUUUUAUUUUUUUACAUCAAUUUUUUUAUUUUUCUUUGUCUCAGUUUUGUAUAUCAAUAUUGUGAUAUACUUGUAUUAUAUGUAGUAGUCAGUUAAUAUACUUAUUACGUGAUUUUCGAUUUUUUAAAUUUUAUGCAGUUUAUUAGAGUAUUAUUAAGUAUAUGAAUGAUGUAACUCGGUGUAUCAUUAUCAAGAAUAUCAAUAAUAUAUUGUUAAAGCAUAUCAGUAAAGUGAAUCAUUAUCGAGUAUAUUAAUCAAGUUUACAAGUGUAUAUCAAAUCUAUAAGUAGGACUUCAAGAAUAUCAAGUGCAUUUAAUCAAUCAAUUGUAUAAGUGAAGAAUACUAAAUGUAUCUGCAGUGUAACAAGUGUAUCAAACAUAUAUUAGUAAUGUUUUAGGUGUGUAUCAAAAGAUAUCGAGUGUAUCAAAGUGAGUAUCAGGUAGAUCAAGUGUAUCAAUCAAAUGUAUCGAGUGUAUCAAGAAGUAUCAAGUGUAUUAAGGGGUGUAUUAGGUGUAUCAAACGUAUAAUAGUAACGAGGGUAUUUAUGACAUUUUACCUCUUGAUAUGUGGGUCGGGCUUCAAUUUUGCCAUUUUCGCAAAUAAUAAAUUGUGUGUCCUAUAGACUUAAUUAUUAUAAUUUAUUUUGUCAUUUUUUUCAAGUACCCCUUAUAUAAAACAAUUCAUUUCUUACACAUACAGUGAAUGAGGCAGAAUAUCACAAGUUCAUGAAUAUAGUGUAUUUGCAAACAACAUUAAAUUUUGGAAAAUCUUAACUAAAUAUGAUAUUUUCGAGUUUGAUAAGAUUACACCAACAUCCCUAAAUAUAUGACGGUAAUUUAUAUCAUAUUUUUGGAUUCUUAAAAUUUAAAUCAAUUAAUUAACAAUUUAUUGAUAUAAUUCAUAAUAGAUAUGUUUAACAAUAAUGUGAAUUCAAAUUUUAGAUAAUGUCACUAAAAUAAUAGCAAAGAUCAAUUCAAUAGUUUUUGAUUCUUUAUAUUUCAUACUAUUUAUCAAAUCUUUAUUAAAUAAUACAUAAUACAUAUUUUUAAGGUGAUUUUUAAAAAUAAAAUAAUGGACAAACUAUUUCAUGCCCAUAGCAAAAUUUUAAUCCAAGACCAAAAUGGAUAACUAAAAUUUUAACCGAAGCCAAAGUAUUAAUGUUUUUUUUUGCUAUAGGAUGUAAAUACUUUCCAUUUUCUUCUAUUUAUGUAAAUUUAUUACAUGAACACAUCUUCAUUUUUGUCGACGAAAAUAUAUAUGUGGCCAAAAAAGUUGUGUAUUGCGUGGGCACAUCAUCGUCUUUGCCAACAAAAAUAUACAAAAAUAUAUAAGUGGACAAAAAUGUGUGUGGUGAAAAGGAAAAUUUUUAAGUUGGCUUUCUGCCGACAUUUACUUUUGUUUAUCACCACGUAUCGUGUGUUGGUAGAUAUUUUAAAUAUGUGCCCUCAUAAUUUAUGUGGCGAAAAAUCCUACAUUUUUAUACAUAUUUAUGGCGACGCUAGACCUAUACAUACGACGACGCAAGACUUAUAACGUAGGCAUAAGUGUUUUUUUUUAAAAAAAAAAAACCUAAUUUUUCCAAAUAUUUUCCUCCUUUUCUUUUCUCUCACGCAGUUCCUCCUUUACGUGAAUGGCUUGCUGCACCCCAAACACCAAGAUUUUCUUUGCUCACGUUGAUUGCCCAUCUUCGAUUUCACUCCUUGUCGUCACUGCUCUUCGCUCAACGGCUCGCUGCACCCCUUGCUUAUCGAUUUGUAUUAACUCAAAUAAGGUCUGAAUUGUAUUAUUGCAUUAAAAUUUCAGUACCUCAUCUGAUACACAAAAGCAAUAAUUCUCCACUGAAUUCUUAUGAAUUCUUAGUAAUUCUUUGGAUGUAUCUUCUUUUUCAUUUUCCUUACUGUAUUCUCUAAAUAAGAAAUUUUAACAUCCUCCCGAAGUUGAUCAAGGCUAAAAGGCUAGAUGCACAAUUGAGGUAUGUGAGGUGCUUAAAGUACUUGAACUAAUCUCGAGGUUUAGAAAAAACUUUUGCAUUAAACUGUAUGUUAGGAUGAUCGUAGCUUACUGUUCAUCAUUCUUUUACUUUAAGACUCUAGGAUGUGCAAAUAAGUGGCUCAAUCUUUGCAACCAUCCACCAAAUUUAGUUGAAUGUUCCAAGGCAUGGUGGUUAUUGUGUCAACCUUCUCCAAAUCAUAGCAAACUCAACUACCUAUCAAUGGAACAAAAAACAUCUAUAAGAAACAAAUAAAUUGUAAAACUUUUAUUUUGAAUGAGAAAAAAAAUAUCUAUUGAAUAUGACAUUUUUAAAUAUAUUAGUAAUUUAGAAACGUCACGUUGAUAACUCUAUUGAACAAAACAUUAAUUAAAUAGUGACUUUUUAACUAGAAUAAGAAACUUUUUUGAUAGACAUUAAUAUUACGCAUGAAUAUCCUUCAACUAUGAUAGCAAAUCAUGCAUAUAUUUCAUAUUUAUUGUAUGCUUGAAUUAUAAUAUGUUGUGGCUAUCAUAUCGCUACAGUAGCCAAUCAUGUAUAUAUUUUACACUUAAUAUAUGUUUGAGUUAAACUGCUACUUUGGACACGUUUUUCGAUAUUUUGUGUUUGAUUAUGAGUUUAGAAGGCACAUUUGAGCAUUUUGAAAGGAUUUUUUUGGACUUAAAAGGUGAUUUUUAGUUUGAUAUUUAAGACAGUUAGUAGGUGAGUUUUUGUUGGAUUUUAAUUUGAAAGUUACAAUUGGGUUUUUGGUUGUUUUGACAUAUAAAAGGCUACACAAACCCAUUUUUGAGUUAAAGUACCACUUAAACAUUUUGGAGGUGUUUUGGGGGUAGGGAAAGGAAAUGAUUAGUCAUUUCUAUGUAUGGGGGGCAAGAAUUAAGGUGGGAAAGGAAUAAAUUAAUUUCCCACUUAAUCCUUCUCUUUCUUCCAUAAAUACAAUCACAUCAAACUUUUCUCUUUUUUCAAAAUAUAGAUAUGUUUUUCUUAAUAAUUAUAUUUUAACAACUAUAAGUAUCUUUUCACUUUUCCAUAACAAUUUUAUAUAUAUAUCCACAAAUACACAUAAUUAUGAAAUUUCUAUUAAAUAAACACUCCAAGAUAUUUAAUUAAAUUUAAAUUCAACAAUACUAAAAAUCUAAAUCCAAUGGUUAAUUAAAUAUUCAACCCUCGAGUAUUUAAUUAUGUUCAUCCUCAUUUGUUUAAAUCGAAUAUUAAUGAUAUGCAAUAUCUUAACAUUGCACUUACAAUAUCAAAUUUAAAAAAUGGAUAUAAUUUAUUUCGCACGUAACGCAUCAAUUAAUUUAUUGGCAGGAAAACUUUCGUAUAAAACGUACACAAUUGACAUUGUAUUUACGAAAACUAAUAGAGAGCAUGUUUUCCAAUAAAAAAUCGAUAAAUUAAAAUUAUGAAUAUUUGUGUAUUGGAUUUACUAUACCAUUUUUUUUUAAAAAAAAUACAAGAGUAUGAAUUAAAAAAAUAAAUAAAUAAUAAUAAUAAUAAACUUUUUUUUUGUCAUAAUCCUUCCUCUAUAAUCCUUCUCACUUAUUUCUUCCCCGUAUCUUUGAAAAUGCAACAAAAAAAGAAAAAAAAAAGAGGAGCAUAAUUUUUAAUGUAUUGGAUUUAUAUAUCAAAUUGAAUAACACGUUAAAGACAAAUGAAAAAAAAAAUACAAUUUAUUUGUGAACUAAAUUUACAAUACAAAUUUCAAAAACAUAUUUCACACAAAGAAAUAAUAAUAAUACAAUUUGUUUUGUGUAUUGGAUUUAAUUUUUAAAAAAAUAAGAAAAAAAACUACUGUACAAAUGAAAAAAAAGAAAAAAAAAAACUUCACUUUUGAAAUUGUAAUGAGUGUACGUUAAAGUAAUAAAAUAUUUAUACAAAAUCACCAAAAAUAAAAAUAAUACAAAUUUUUGGUGUAAUUGGAUUAGGGUACAACUUAACUGAAAUAAUGAAUUUAAAUACAAUUUUUUGUUGUAAAUGUUUUAUGAUACAAACAGACAAAAGGUUAUACAAAUGCAAAAAAUAUUAGCACAUUUUCAUUUUGUAUUGGGUUCACGAAAAAAAAAACAAGAAUUUCAUACCCAUGAAAAAAAUUAGUUUUUUUCGUACAAUUUUUUUUACACAAAUGAAAAAAAAUACAAAUUUUUUUAACAUAAUCUUUAUCCAGAGAAAUAUUAUAAAUAAUCUCUCAUAAUCCUUCCAGUUAUUCCUUCUCCCCAAACAACGAUUAGAAAUAAUCAUUUUCUUUUCAUAAUUCCCCUUUCCUUAUUCAUUUCCCCUCAUUUUCCUUUCCUUCCCCCAAACACACCCAAAAAGCUAAUAUGUUAUGGUAAUUAUUGCUAUAGGGUCAACUUUUUGUUCAUACUAUUUGAAGAUGAAUAAGGAUUGGAUUAAACUAAAAAAUAGAUUUUCAAGUGAUUAUGUUGAUGGAGUUUCUUAAUUUAUGGAAGUGGCUAAGUGUCAUGUAAAUGAUGUAGGAAAAACUAGGUGCACAUGUAAGUAUUGUCAAAAUUCAAUGACACAAACAUUGGAUGGAGUAGAGCAUCAUUUAUUUGCGAAUGGAAUAUCUUCUUUAUAUGAUAAAUGUAUUUAUCAUGGAGAAGCAAUGAACUUUGCUAGAUUUGAACAGAGUACUACUUCGUUAGAAAGUGAUAGAUUAAGUAGAGAGUCUGAUGUUGGCAACAAGGACGAUGAUAUUUUAGAUCUUUUAACUGACUUGCAAGGUUCAAUGAUAGCAAGGGAAGAAAAUUUUGAUGACGGAGAUGUAAGUUUUGAUGAUGAAUUUUCAGAAGAUGUUGAUGACAUGGACACUAGUAACAUUUUUAGGAGUUGAUGAAUGAAACACGUAAACCGUUGUAUCCUGGAUGUACCAACUUUUUCUCAUUAAAUUUUUUGGUGAAGUUAAUGCAAAUCAAGAUUCUGAAUAAUUGGAGCAACAAAUCGUUUGAUAUGCUAUUAGAAUUGUUGAAAGAUGCAUUUUCAAUCGGUACAUUUAUAACUAAAUCAUUUUACGAAGCUAAGAGAAAAUUAUGUGACUUAGGGUUAGGAUAUGAUUUCAUCCAUGCUUGCAAAAUAUGACGGUAUAUUAUUUCGAAAAGAAUUUGCUAAUUGUCAAAGUUGUCCACUAUGCAGUAAAUCUCGAUAUAAACAGAGAGUGAAAAAGGAAAGAAGAUUCCAAAUAAGGUUUUGCGUCACUUUCCACUAAUUCCAAGGAUGAAACUAUUGUUUUUUAAUCAAAAUAUAUCGCUUCUAAGAUGAGAUGGCAUAACGAUAAACAGAGGAUGUUUUACGACGAUAUCUAGCUGAUGAUGUAGAAUGGAAGCACUUCGAUAGAGAAUUUUCUCAAUUUUCCUCAAAGCCAAGAAAUGUUCGUUUAGGCUUAGCUUCACACGAUUUUAAUCCAUUUGGGAAUAUAAGUACUGCAUAUAGUAUGUGGCUAGUGGUGCUUAUACCAUACAAUUGUGGCUAGUGGUGCUUAUACCAUACAAUUUGUCCCUUGGAAGUACAUGAAGGAGUCCAAUUUUUUCAUGUCUUUGUUUGUACCUGGACCCAAAUCUCAUGGGAAAGAGAUUGAUGUAUAUUUGCAGCCCAUAAUUGAUGAGUUGAAAGAGUGGUGGAAUAAUGGUGUGCGAGCGUUUGACUGUACAUAUGAAGAGUAUUUUCCAUUAUAUGCAUGUUUGUUGUAGACCAUCAAUGAUUUUCCUGUAUAUGGUGACUUGUCGGGAUGGAGUACGAAAGAAUAUCAAGCAUUUCCUACUUGUAAAUAAGAUACGUCAUCGUUUGGGAUAAAAGGAAAAAUAUCUUUUAUGGGACACCAACGUUAUCUUUCUUCUAAUAAUAGUUGACGUCGAAGUCGACAAUAUGACAAAAAAACCCGAACGCAGGCCUCCACCAAUUGUAAUGAGGGGAGAUGAGACCUUACAACAAAUAAACUCCAUGAAUUUUCCAGUGCUAAGUAAGCAUUCAUCCAAGAUGAAUAAGAAAUGAAAACAUACUAUUAAUUGGAAUAAGAGAAGUAUAUUCUCUACACUUCCGUAUUAGUCUAAACUUCUUUUGAGACAUAAGUUGGAUGUCAUGUAUAUUGAAAGAAAUGUUUGUGACAACUUGCUUGACACUUUAUUAAAUAUUGAUGGUAAAACAAAGGACACAAUCAAUGCUCGUUUAGAUUUAGGAGACUUGAAUAUAUAAAAAGGAAUUACAUUUGCAAAGGCAAGGAACUAAGCUGAUAAAACCACAUGCUACGUCUACAUUAACCGGCACCGAAAGAAUAGACUUUAUAAGUUCUUAAAAUCAAUUAAAUUUCCUAAUGGAUUUGUCUCAAAUAUAUCACGAUGUGUGAGUGUCAAUGAUGGAAAAUUAUAGGGACUAAAGACUCAUGACUCUCACAUUUUACUCUAAUGACUUAUUCUCAUUGUUGCACGAGCAUACUUACAUAAGGGUGUGUGUACAACUAUCGUUGAGUUAUGUAAUUUUUUUCAUGAUUUGUGUGCGAAGACAAUACAUAUCAGUGACCUGAAUCGUCUGAAAGCCAAUAUUGUGAUCAUACUCUACAAAUUUGAAAGAAUUUUUUCACCUGCGUUUUUUGACGUAAUGAUACAUCUUGCAAUUCAUUUACCGGCUAAGACAAAGAUUGUUGGUCCAAUAAUCUAUAGUUAAAUGUAUCCCAUAGAAAGAAGCUUACGAACAUUAAAACAAUAUGUACGAAACAAAGCUUGUCAUGAAGGUUCCAUAGCAGAAGCAUUUCUUAUGAAUGAAUGUUUGACCUUCUACUCGAUGUAUCUAACAGGAAUAGAGACAAGAUUCAGUAGGAAUUCACGAAAUGAUGACUCAAUGAGCAGAAAACUUGGUUGUGGGGACUUUGAUGUAUUUAAAUAAAAUAUGUGACUAAUGGAGGGGUCAAUUGUGAGGACGCUAUCUGAAGAAGAGAGACGAAUGUGUCAUUGGUAUGUUCUGAACAACUGUUCUCAAAUAGAAUCGUAUCUCAGGUACAUUUUAUACAUUCAUUUACUUGUCAGUUCAUAGUGUAUAUAAGUAAGUCGAAAUUCUUUUUAAUAUUUAAUAUGAUUGAUAAGCAGAGAAAAUUUGAGUUUGAUAAAUACCAAAUGAGAGGAUGGACUAGAUUUAUUUAGAAGGCACCAAUUAAAAUUUCCUAAUUGGUUUAAUGUACAUGUAAGUGUUGUUUUUAGCUUCAAAGUAUGAUGUUUUACUAUUGAGGUAUUAGUAGUUAUUCUAACCCACAUAAUAUUAUGUAGAUGUAUUCAUUACGUGAAAAAGGUGAAGCAUCUGAUGAUCUUUACUCCAUAGUGUUGGGCCUAUUAAUCAAGUUCGCACUUACAGUGGUUGCUUUGUAAAUGGAUUACAUUUUGAUUCAAUAAAGCGUGACAAUCGCCAGACUACUCAGAAUAGUGGAAUCAUGGCAUAUGGAGAAACCAAAGCCGACAAAACGGAUUACUAUGGUCUAUUGCAAGAGGUCUUGGACUUAGAAUACCCUAAGUGUAGACGUGUAUGUCUUUUCAAAUGUAAUUGGUUUGGAACCGAUGUUAAGAAGAACAAAUUUUGUUCUAAUUUAGGCUUUAAAAUAAUUAAUACUUCUCGUUUGGGUACACUGAUGACCCAGACAUAUUAGUUACACAAGUCGUGUAGGUUUUCUACACUGACGACCCAAAACUCCGCAAUAAUUGAAAAUUUGUGCAAAAUGUCCAAAAUAAACAAGUAUGGGAUGUCCCAUAAGUUGAAAAAUUAGAAAAAGAGUUGUUAGAAGCAUCUAGUUCAAUUGGGUUUGAUAAAUCCAUACAUGAUAUCCCAUUUUGUAGAGGCGAUGUUAAACCUACUGUUUUUUAUAAUCAAGAGAUAGAUAAUCAAGAUCAAUCCCCAAUCGAUGACGACUUUAUAAAUGACGAACCUGAACAACUAGAAUCUUUGGAUUCAUAUGGUAAUGAAUAAAGGGUAUAUAUUAUAUGUUUAUCAAAUUUAUUUACGACAUGUUAUUUUAAAGUCUAACCACUAAUAAUUAUUUUUGCAGCAUAAUGGUACAUACAGAUCAAGCACAAUUGGCAUUGACUGAAGUUGAACAAACAAACACUACACCAGUUGAUCCUUCCACUCAUCAAGACGGUAUUAAUAUGAUAUGUAAGUUUAUUUCUUAUACAUUACUGAAAUGAUCUAAAAAUAGUUUUACUUUUAGGAUAUCAAUCACAAACUAAAAAGUGAGGAAAUGAUGUGAGAGGAUACGGUCCAAACAUAGAAUUGGACAAAUUUGUAGAAAAACGUGGAAAGAUCAAGAUAGAGAUUAACAAAGAGGAAGAAAAACCAAUGACGGCAUUUGCCCCUAAAAUUGGGUUAGGCAUUGGUACUGUCGUUCGAAACACUAUUCCAUUGAGUUGAGGGAAUUGGGAGGCGGUACCUAUAGGCGUAAGGAAGCUCGUGAUUGAUCGGUUGGAGGUAUGUUUAUGUUUAAUUUAUGCCUUCUUAUAUUGUUUAAAUGUAAAAGUUGUCCAUUUAUACAUAUAUUAUUAAAUAUGUAGACAAAUUUUGAAUUUGACCCAACUGACAUAAUUGUGAGAAAAUACUUAGAAAAAAAGAUGCAUAAUACUUUUAGAGAUCAAUUUAGAGCAGGUUUGAAUUGUAUGUACUUGAGUUGAAAUAUUUUGUGGCUAUCCUGCGGUGGCAACCAAUCAUACAUACAUGACAUUUUCAUAAGAACUGUCCACGUUUCUCUGUAUCGGUAAAGACGAAUAUUCUUGUAGUGUUUGUUGUUGGACAAGAUUGCAACAACCUCCUAUAUGAUAAUGGUAAAUAUAUAUACAAGAUUUUCAGGUUUGUUAUAUUUUAAAAAAUUUAUUAAAUACUACAUAAUAUAUAUUUGAAUAACAAUUUGAAAUUAAAUUUUAGAUACUCCUCAUAGAAUAAUGCCAAAUAAAAAUACAAGAUUUUCAGCUAUUUUAUAUUUUUAAACAAUUUACUAAAUAAUAUAUAAUAUAUUUUUAAUAACAAUUUGAAUUUGAAUUUUAGAAUUGUAAUUAUGUCUCAAUGGGACUUUUGCAAUUAUUUGAAUCUUCUUCUUUUAUGUUUUAUUUGAGAAAAAAAAAAAAAAAAAAAGAAGAUUGAGAGGGGGGCAACCGAUGCAAGAGACAAACACUGUGUGAGAGAGAAAUUUUUUCUUUUAAACAAGAGAGAAGAAAAGUGCGAUCGACAGAGAGAAAGACGUCGGAGUUUCGACGUUAGUGGCUAUGGGCAUCUGACGGCAUCUGACGUUGGUCAUGAGUUUGCGGCAAGUUCUGACGUUCUGGCGUUUGUUGGAGUCAGAUUUAGCCAACUUUCAUGGAUUUAGCUGCAAGCAGGAUGAUAGAAGGCUCGAGCAGUGUUUAUGGUGAGUUUCAUCGUUCAUGUUUUGUUUUUCAGCCUUGGUUCUUCUUAGGGUUUUCAGUAGGUUAUUCGACAUGUGAGUCUCCGGUCGGAGGAGCCGGCAAGAUGAAAAUUUCACAAUCUUACGUCAGAGGAGCCAACAAGAAGAAAAUCCAAGUAUGAAGAGUUUGAAGAGUUUGAAGGGGACGAGCUGGAAACUCCAAUAGUUUCUGCAACUAUGGAAGUUUGAUGUUGAUAUGUGUUAAUUGUGUGUUGGGAGUAAGAUUUUAAUUAUAGGGUAUUUGUGGUUUGUUUAAUAAUUAUAUUUAGGAUUCAAUUUUUUUUAUUUAGGUAUGGGCAUUUAAGACAUUUGUUCGUGCAAUUAUUUUCUUAUACUUUUUUAUUUUUCUAUUUUAUCAAUUUAAAUAAAGAUUUGUUGUUAGAGAAAUGUGUGAGAAUGGCAAAAUAACAUUGUGGUGUUUGGAAAAUAGCAAACAUAAAAAGUAAUUUGAUUUUUAGCAAAAUUGCAAAAGAUAUAAUUUUUUUUUGAGAAUUUUUCAACCGAUUUUAUCUCUUGAUAGGAUGACUAUCAUUUUGUUAAUUACAAUGUAUUUGUGAACCGUAAAAUAAUAAAACAUAACACAUAAUUACGAUUACGAUGCAUUUGGAUAUCAUUCAAUUUUGUAAUAAUAUUAAAUAAAUAUUUAUUUUAUCUAUUAAUCUCAUUUAACUAAAUUAUAGAUUCAUGUCUUAAAUUUAUAACAGAUUAUCCUAUUACUUAAUUGUAGGUUUUGUUGGAAGAUUAAAAUUUUAAAAUUUAAAAUAAUAUCUUUGGUUUAAAAUUAUGCAUUUUAUAUAAUAACAACUUCAUAUAAAUGGUGUAUUUUUCCUAUAAUUAUGCAUAUAGCAAUUAUACCAUAUUCGACCAUAUUAAUAAUAAUAAAUUGUUAAGCAUUAUUUUAGAGAAUAAAUGGUAACAUAACGAUAAUGCAAUCUUAUUAUAUAAUUAUCAUUAAAUUAGGAACAUUUUCUAUAGAUAUUAUUUACUACCAUUUAAAAAUUGAGUUUAAAUUCUUGCAAAUUCUCCUAAAAUCGUAUUAUUACAUUGAUCUCCCUAAAAUAAUGACAAACAUAGAUUUAACAUUUUUGGAUUAUUUAUAUUCCAAAAUAUUUAUAAAAUUACCCUAUUUAAAUUUUGUAUUUAAAUACCUCCAAAAUACAUAUUGCUCGUAACAAAUUGAAUUUAAAAUUUUAUCUUCCUCAAAAAUUGUGCUAAUUGGUUGAUUUUUAUUUUUAAAAAAUUGUUUUAUUGUGCCAAUGGUAGAAAUAAUUAUUUUCAGACGUGUUUUUAAAUUACGUUAAUAUCUAUGUUUAUUUUCAUCUAGUAAGAGUCUCAAACACACCAUAAUUGUGAUUCACAAUCUUAUAAUUUUAUAGUCAUCUAUUAUACAAACAUAUUUCAAUCAGCAGAUUUGGAAUACACAAAAAAAGAUAAAAAAAUUUGGUCAUCAAGAUGUAGUAUCAUUACCUAUACAAUUUAUUUCAAUAGGUCAAAAAAACGAGAUAUGAUAUUGAAAAUAACAUAAAUUUACUUUAUUUUGUAAAUAACAUUCAAAUUUGAUAAAUCUUAAUUAAACAUGUUAUUUUGUACAAUUUAUUAAAUAAUACAUGAUAUAGUUUUAAUAACAAUUUGAAUUUAAAUUUUAGAUCAUUCCCUAAAAUUAUAUAUAAAUCCAAUAAUUUCACUUUUUUAUAUUUUUAGCCAAUUUUACUUGUAUAGAGGAAAAUUCUUAUCUUAUUGGUAUAGUGUACUUGUGUAGGUUAAAAUGAUGAAAUAUAACUCAGAAUCACGAAUAUAUUGUAUUUGCAAAUCAUUAAGUUGUGUAAAAAUAUUAAAUAAAUAUUUAUUUUCGAAAUGAAUUUGAUUGAAUCAACAUCCCCUAGAUUUAAAGGCUGCAAUUUAUUCUAGAUUUUCUUGUUUGUUGGUUUCAAAUCAAGUAAUUAACAAUUUAUUUAGUUGUGGUUGUUCAAAUUAAAAUUGUAUCUUACCCCUAUAAUUAUGAUGCAUUUAAUGUAUAUAUGAUUAUUCUAAUAAAGUUUUGAUAUUCCUCUAUAAUCAUGAUACUUGAUUGAUUUCCUAAAAUGAUGUCAAACAUAAUUUCAAAAUUUUGGGAUUAUCUUGUUAAUAUUCUUUAUCUAUUCUCCAUAAUUGUUAUUUAAAAAUAGAUUUUAAAUUUUGAUUUGAAACCGUCAAAAUAUUAAAAUUGAUUUAAAAAUUUAUAAAAAUAGUUAUUGUUAACAAUAAUUUGAAUUUAAAAUUUUGUCAUCCCUAAAAUCAUGCUAAGAUAUCUUUAUAUCUCCAAAAUAAUAGCCAACAUAAAUUUAACAGUUAUUUAUAUUCUAUUAUAAAAAAUAAAUAUUUUAAUUUUGGAAGGAAUUAAUUGAGAAGAAAAGAUUUGUUUUAUUUAAAUUGUAAAAGAAAAAAAAAAGAAAGUGAAGAUAUUUAAGGGAAAAUAAUAAUAUAAUAAUAUUACUAUUACUAUUCAUCAUCUUCGUCACUCUCACCAAACCCUGACUGCCGCUGACACCUCCAUCUUCGUUCGCCAUCCCAUCCAUUCUGUUGAUCGAGAACUAAACCGCAAGGAAACAUCUCCUCUGUUGCACGCCACUAGUCGCAUGUUUACUUCAUCCGAAGUCAAGCGUCUUUGUGCCGCUUGUUCAUUCGCAUCGCGCGUCGCACGCUCAGCCGCGUCGAUCUCCUUUGUCUGCAUUCGUUCACUGGUUAUACCAAAACUUCCAGCCACAAAACUUCCAGUCACCGUCAAUCCCCGAAUUUUAGUGACUCUGUUGUUGUGGGGGUUUUGUGACAUACAAUGUAUCUUUUCUAAAAUUCAAGUUGAUAUAUUGUUGCUAUAAUUUAACAAACGAAGAAGAAAAUCCAUUGAAGAAGCUCACUUUUGCGCGAAACGAAAAAGAAUCUAUAAUCGGUUUGAUGAAGAAGAUGGUUGGCAAGAAGAAAUUUUUUUAAUUUGCAGUAAAUGUAUAAAGACUUUGAAGGUUUUGAAGAGGACGAAGCUUAAAGCUCUAAUAUUUUCUGCAAAUGAUCAAAGACUUUGAAGAUUUGGUAGAAUCUACGAAAGUAGAAGGUAAUGAAGUUGGAUUCUUUUCGGCUUUGAAUACCUAAACAUACACAAUUUCAACAAGGAUGUGUUAUUUAAUUACAAGGUAUUUAGGUUUUAGGUAAACAAUUCCACAAUGGACUUAGCGUUUUUGUGAUGUCAGGACGAAUCUUAAAUUAAUGGCCAAAAGUUCUUAUUCAAUCCGAACUACAAGCGAGUAUUAAAGAAAAGAAAUGAAAGCAAGGGCGAGAGAAGAAACGGAGGUGAUGGAGCAUAAAUUAAAACGAUUUUGGUCCAUACACUAAUCACAAAUUACAUUUUAAAUAUUUUUUGUUUUCUUGUUAGGUUUAUCUCUUGCUUUUCUUUUUCUCUUUUCCUUCCUUCAAUUCAAAGGAUUUUUUUCAAAAUAUUUAUAAAUAUAAAAAAAUAGUACUUUUAAUUAGCCAUCGAUGGUGAUAGGCUUAUCUAUGUGACGAUGGACCUAGAUUGCAGUCUAUCUUGAUUUAUUAUUAAUAUAAUUGUGAUAUUUUGAUAUAUUUAGAAAUUUUUUCAUUUAAAAUAUUUUUCUUGUUAUAUUUUGAGUGUGUAUAAAUAGAUUAAAAUUAAAGGGUAAAAAAGGGACAAAAGGACAAAAAGAAGGGUAAAAAAUAAAAAGAAACGUUAGGAAAAAGGGGAAAAGAAAACAUGACUAAAUAAUAAUGAGAAAAAAGAAUGGAAAGAAAAUAAUGCAUUAAAUUAUAAAUUUGGUCGAUGAGCUUUAACAUCCGUGUUUAUCUUGUCCUUAAACUACCAAACUUACAAACUUUAGUUCUCGAUCUUUUAAGUUUUAUCAAAAUUUUCAUAAUCUAUUAAAUAAAAUAAAUUAAGAAUUAAAGUUGGGAUGAAACACAAAAUCAAAAUUCAAAGACCAAAAAUUAAACACAAACCAGCUACGAGUUUAACAACUAGAUUUAUAGGAGAACCAAAACACAUAAAUUAAAAAAUAUGAAUAAUAGAUUCAUAAACUUUCAUCAUAUCCAAAACCCUAAACCUAAAAUGAGGGAACACAAACUAGACAUGACCAAAACUAUUUUUUCAGAAGUACCAAUAAUAGAUUUGAUCACAUGACCAAACUUAGAGCACAUGUUCUUUCUAAAAUAUAUCCAAAGGGUAGCCCUACCUGCGUGAUUUGUUGAAGUAUACUCUCUUGGGGACCUCAAAUAAUUAAAUUACUUUUUCCAUUGUUUUAUCUUUUGUGUGGAUUUUUUUCUAAAAAAAUUUCACGUGAAGAAAGAAGGCCUUAGCUAAGCUCCAAUAAUUCAACUUGACAUUGUACCCUAUGUAGUAAUCCAAGAUUUCAAAUAAAAUGGCACGUGAAAAGUUAGUUUUUUUUUCUUUCCCAACUUGUGAUUAUAUCAUUUUGGAACCUAUCGUUCUUAGCAUUUAGUGCUAGAUGAAGACUCAUUUGCCGUAUAUUUGAAAGGAGAGGUACGUUGACGCUCCUUGUUUCUCUCAUGUUACAAUCCUCUUUUGUUUGAAACCUAUUUUAAUUCAAUCCACAAACACAAUAAUAGAGGAUUGAUAUCAACCUUUCAUUAUGGAAGAUAGAAAUUUUGAAAUGAAUCUAGCAAAAAAACAUAGAAGUCAAGCACGAUGUUGUGGUAGAUAAUGAUAAGCCAAUGAGAGCAUAGAUGGAAAUACACCUAGGAUGGUAACCCAAUUAGUGAGUGUAGUCACCUAUUUCGAAGAUUAGUGUAUUAGAUAAAGAGUCGAGAGAUUAUCAUUUCAAUGGUAAACUCUCUCUUUAAAAACUAUUGUCACACACAAUAUUUUUUUGGUAGCCUUAAAUGAAAUCUCAUCAAUACAUCAACUACUCAUCUUGAGUUUUCACUUUCACCUUUAACUAAUUCGACAGUACAUGAAGCCAAGUAAUAAUACUUGGUCAGAACAAAAACUCAUAAAUUAUAGACGAAAGCAGGCAGGGAAGCAAUUCAAACUUGACUUUAAAGCACAUGUAACCUGUUAUAUGUAAAGUAGUAAUAGCGGCAAAAUUUUAGGGUUUUAGUGUUUUACACAAUAUAGGUUACUCUAAUACCAUGUCAAACAAUGUAAAUUUUCUAUCUUAUUUCACUUAGAAAGAGGGGAUUUCUUAAAUAUGUUUGGAGAAUAUAAUAAAAUAAAUACAAAAAAAUAUUAAAGAAAAAGGAAACAAUCAAUUAAUUCAUGAUUCAUGGUUGUUUCAAGCAUUACACAAUAAACACUUCAAAACACUAAAAUUAUUAGUAAAUACAAAGAGGUUUAUUCGAAACACGUUAAUUAAUUAAUUAACUUGAGAUUAAAAACUAAAUAGUCGACCCACACCUUUCAUGCAAUUGACAAAAAAGAAUAUUCAUCUAAUUUUUUAGUGUCUGAAUUGAUAACUUUUCUUAAAUUGAAGUUUCAUUAACAGAGAGUUCAUUCUUUAUAUAUAAAAACAUACUUAAAAUUGGUUAUAUAAAAUUUUUAUUCAACAUAUAAUAUGUAAGUGAGGAGAUGGAUUGUUUGAAUUCUCUUAUCUAAUUUUAUACUAUUUACUAACAACUAUUAGAAAGUAAAGGAAAUUUAUUUUCAAACCCCACCAUUACCUUUUAUUACCUUAAGAAAGGACAUAAACAUAUAACCCUCAAAAUUAAACCUUUCACAAAUCUUUUCAUCCUGCACACUUCACCAUGGCAAAAAAAAAGAGAAAGAUAUAAGGAAAAACAUAACAAUGAUAAGUUCACACUAACAAAUUAACUCUAAACAACAUUAAUUUUACUUCCCUACACCCUCAACUCUAAACCCUCCAAAACUAUAAUAUUCCCCAAAACACAAUAUGAAUAUAUACCACUUGGCCCAAAACCACCUCCUAGGGUUUUUUAGUGGCUUCUCAUUCUAUGGUGUUUUAGGGGUUACGUACCUUACCUUCCUGAAAUAUUCACGAGGGUUUUUUUUAUUAGGGGUUUCUCUUUCUAGGGUUUUUAGGGUAAUCGGGGAUAGUUCUUAACCAGCGCGGUACUGCCACAAGCCAAAGCCUUCGGCGGAAUCAUUCCCACCAUAUGAACUCCUUCGGCAAACACAACUCCCAUUCCCAUAUGCAAAUGAGGUUCAAUAUGGCAAUGGAACGCCCAAACACCUGGGUUAUCCGCCACAAAUCGAAUCGCCGUCCACCCAUAUGGGAAAAUCACCACUGUGUUCCUCAACGGUGGAUUUUUCAAAUUCAGUUUCUUCUCAUCCUCGGGGGCGUAAAAUUUCCCCUCUCCAUACCCCAAAACCCAAAAAUCAUGGCCAUGCAAAUGCCAAGGGUGAAUCUCACUCAUAUUGGGGUUUAACAUAUUAGCGUUUUGUAGAAUCACAUCUACCGUUUCCCCCAUAUUGAACUUGUAAACGCCGUUGCCCGUUGUCGUUUCAGGGUUCGGCGGUGGGUUGUUGAUGUCGUAGUUCAAUGGGAAUGUUUCUGGUGGUGGAUUUUGGUUGAAGGCAGUGUUUAGCCUCAUUUUCAUGGCGGCGAGGUACGGCGUUGGAGGGAGAGCUAAAGAGACAUUGUUGAUGGCCCAUUUCAUGAACCCGUUUAUUCGAUUUUGGGUGUUGAGGAGGAAGAGUCGGCGGUUGUAUCUCACCGGUGGCUUUGGACUGCCCAUGGCAGCGAAGAUUCUGAAUGUGAAGUUUUUGCUCCGAUCAAAAUCCUCCCAGUGGGGGGUUUCCGGAGGUGGAGAAAUGGGUAAUUUGGAGGCGGAGUUGGGGAGGUAAUUGAGGAGGGUUAGUCCUGGAGGGGUUUUGGGUAGCCGUGCGCGGACGCCGAUGGAUACCCAGUAAUUUUCCAAUGGGUUUUGGUCGGUGGUAAUGAGGACGGAGUAUGACUCGCCGGAAUAAAUGUCGAUGUCGGAAGUGACAAAUGGUUGAACGUAGUUGCCGUCGGCUUCUACCACUAACAGUUCGUGAUUCUGCAGAAGAAGAGGAGAAAAUAAUUAUUAAAAUUAGUUUUAAAUUCAUGGAUAAACAUUAAUGUUGAAAGUUGAAGAUAUUAUUUAGUGAAAAAUUAAAGUUUAAAAAUCUAAAAUUAAAUGGAAAUGAACAAUUUGAAACUUAUAAACUAAAAAGGAGAUUAGAAUUUUUUGUUCAUAAUUAUUCAAGUUUACUUUUGAUUAUUUUUAUUUUGAUUUUCAAUUACUAGUUUGAAGCAUGAAUAUGAAUUAUUAACAUUCUAACAUGCAAUUAUUCUAAAAAGGACAAAACAAAAAUGAAAUUUUGAUCCAUUUCUUUCACCACUGAAAAAGGCUAAGAUUUUGUUUUGUGUAAUUAUUAUGUGCAUAAUUAGAGAGAGAUGGACCUCAUUUUGUUAUACCUUUGACAAGGAAUUAAAUAAAUCUUCAUACUUAACAUACUAUAGAUUUCAUUUAAGUGUAGAAAGAUUUGUAUUUAGUACUCUACUUUUUUAUUAUUUUUCUCCCUUUCCUUUUUUGUUUAUUAUUAUUAUUAUUAUUACUUUCUUUAUAAUUUUCUUUUAAAAAACUAUUCUAUAUCACCCAACUUUUAUAAAUAUUUACUAAUAUAACAAAUUGAUAUCGAUCUAUCAUCUAACUUAGUCUAUCAUAGUCCAUUUUCCAUAAUAGAUAAAAUAUGAAUUUUGCUAUAUUUUGUAAAUAUUUUGAUUUAUUUUAUUAUCAUCUAAAUUGAAUUUUAAAAUAAUAUUUUAUUAUUUUUUUAAUAGUUUUUGUACCCUAAAUUUAAUAAUAUAUUAUAAAAUCUUGUUUAGAAUUUUGUUUCCUAAAGUAUAAAUGUAGAUCCCCACCACAGUACAUCUAGAUCUCAAACAUUUAUGUGGUAACCUUCAACUUUAACAAUUAUUCCAUAAAACAUCUUCCCCAUUAUUAAAAUAAAUGAUAAAAAAAAUGAGGCAAUAGUUUAGAUAUAAAAUCAAAAGAUGGGAUAAGAUCACAUAUUAUUUUAAUCAAAUUAUACAAAUUUAAUCAUAGUAGUUGGGAUAAUUUUAGGAGUUAGUUCCAUAGUUUAUAAAUUACAUAUAUUAUUCACAACUAUUAGCAUUUAUUUCAUCUAGAAAGAAGCAUUAAAACUAUUUAUAAUGUAAAAUCACCUUGGUACCUCAAGGGUCACAUCAAUAAAUAAGAAUAAGAUAUAGUAAAUAAUAUCACUUAUGCUUUACAAUUUCUUACAUAUUUGUUACUUCUCAAGUGGGUUUAUAUAUGUGUGUGUAUAUAUAUAUAUAACUAAAUAAAAGUAUGAUUAAAAUUCUAUAUUAAUAAAAGUACAUAUAUAGAUAUUUUAAGUUUAAGAGUAACAAUCAACUCUCAAGUAAUAUUUUUAAAACAAAGUGAAGCAUUUAAGUGUUAUAUAUAUAAUUGGAUUAGAAAAAGAAAAGAUAAAAAGUAAUAUGAAUAGGACAAGAAAGAUGGGAGCAAAACAUGUGGGAUACCUAAGAGAAGAGUUGGUCAAUGGGAAUCACAUCAUAUUAUCAAUACCAAUAUGUCCAAAAUGUCAGAAAUGUUAGAUUAGGUUAUCUAUUGUUUGUACUCUCCCAAACACUGCUACAUGUGUUUAAAAGUAAAUUUAAAUAUUAUCUCUUAAAUUGCUAUUUUUAAAUACAAUGAAAUAUUAUUAUAUUAUAAAAUUUUGUUAUAUUUAUAAAUAUUUAUGUAAAAAUUUAUAUAUUAAAGGUGGACGUGGAUUAAAAUAGAAGAGAUUUAAUGUAAAGUUUAAAUAUCAAAACGAAUAUUUUAAAGUAUAAUGUGAUAUAUUAUACUCCAGAAUUCAAACCCUAAUAUUCUUAUAGUCAAUUUUGAAAGGAGGGUAAAGUUGAUAAAAUGGCUUUUGAUUGUUUGGUAGCUAUUAUUCUCACUAGUGAAAGAGAAGUUUGUGUGUUUUGGUUAGUUUCCUCUCUCUCUCACACACACACAUAUAAUAUAUAUUUGCUUUCACUAACUACUCCCACUUUUAGGACUUUAUGAGUCAAAACCUUUGAAAUUAUUGGAAGUAAUUUUCAAACAAAAAGCAACUUUCAUACUUCUAACACCUUUUUAACAUAUGGUUUGAUAAAGCUUAAUUAUUUCUUUUGUACAAUUUGUCAUUGGAUGGAGUUACUUUAUCAUGUUUCUUUUAGAUUCAUUCGUCGUGAUUGAAAUUGAACUACUUAUUAAUUUACUCGUUGAGGCUAUUUGAGUGAUUUUUGGAUGUUUAAUUGUUUAAAUUUGAUGAUUUUCGACUGUAAUAUCGAUUUAGAAAGUUUAUUUGGUCAUUACUAAAGGUUAAAUAUCUUUGAAAACUGCUACAAUUAUUUAAAAUUGAAAGAUUAAAUCAUAGAAAAUACCUCAAAAUUGUCAUUUGUUUAAAAAAAAUUAUACCUUCAAAAGUUUAAUACAUACUAAACGUGGAUGGAAUGAAGGUGCAUCGAACUAUACACCAAAACACACAUCCAAUGCCAAAAGUGAAAAUAUUUCAAAAUUACUACGAAAUAUUUACGAAGGGUUAGAGGUAACACUUGAAGGUUUCAAUAUUACUUCUAACUUUCAUAAAUAUUUUAAAAUUUCCUUCGUGACAUGUUAAUGAUGUGACAGUGACCCGUUUUAUUACAUGAUUUCAAGUUUAAUUUUAUGUAUAAGUUAAUACAAUCACAAUAGUUUUGAAAAGACUAGAUACCUAACUUCAAUAUAAGAUAAUUUUGAGACAUUCAUGCUAACAAUUUUGUUACUAAUUUUUUAAUGUAUUUAGUCUUUAUGUUUUAAUCCUUUACCGUUCGAUAAAAAUUUCAUUAAAUAUAUUCAAUCUAAUUUAAAGAUUUUAUCGAAUCAUAAAAACUAAAUUCUACUUUUUUUACGUGAUACGACUAAAUUUGUGACUUAAACCAAAAUGAAAGAUAAAAAGAAGCAAGACUUACUCCAAUGGCAAAGUUGAG